UUCUUUUUCUGAUGUUCCGAAAAAAACAACAACACACAAGUCAGCUGGUAAUGUCAAGAGGAAGUAUUCAAGACGCUUCCAAUCUUGCGACAUGAUUUCGUUACUAUACUUUAAGUCCCCUUACAAGUAGGAUGGUCCGCCCCAAAUUGUUCUUCUCGAUGUUUGUCGACUGAUGCUUCAGAAAUACUUGCUCUGAUUGGACAAAUGGUUUGACAAGUUGGUGGCCUGAUUCCUGUCUGUCUAUGAAGACAGUUUUCCAAGGGAAUAACAAGAUGCAAGGAUUCUUUUGUCGAAACUCGUGUCUUUAAACUGCAACUGCAAACCAAUAUAUUAUCCUACAAGAAUAACUGGAUGCUCUUCAGAUAGAAGUAAAUACAAGAAACGACCUCAAGACUUGCUUUAGUCUACAGUGAACACCGUGAUUCUCCACUUUACCCGAUAUAAAAUUCAGUGAAGCUCAUUGGCGAACAUCAUGGAUACUCAAGCUAUUAUCAUAACGUGUUCAGUGCUGUUUGCUGCAUUUUUCAUCACUUGGUGUGUUGCAGUUUUUAAGUUCCGAGAAUCUUGUUUUAACAAAAUGCCAUACAUUAACAAAGAAUACAUGGAAAGUGACCAUCAUAGAGUCGAAGUGGAAAUGCAAUCAUCGGCGUCCAACCAGGUUUCGUAAACAUAAAUUUUGGUUCCCGACAACCAUAAACAACACAUCGAACGUAGAUGUUAGAAGGCUAACCUGAUAAAAAUACAUUGGGGAAAAAACCCUAUUCUUUAGAUAGACUUAUACAUCAUCCGAGGUCAUACAAAAUUUCAUUUUCGGACAACAGCAUCAACAACAUAUAUAGAACAUAGAUGUUAGAAGGCGCAUAACCUGAUUGAAAUACUAUGGAAAAAUACUAUCUUUUAGAUAGACUAGUACGUCAUCUGAGGUUAUACAAGAUUCCAAACUGUUCACCAGCAAAAGUAAUAUUUUGUACAUGUACAGUUCAUCGUGCACGUACUGCUCAGCAAGAAGACAACAACAAUGGAAAAGAUUAACUUGUGUCGUAAAAAGAUUAGAGAACUAUUUACAUAGAGGUUUCAACAAGUACGUUAUACUUACAAAGUCAAUGGAAGAUCCUGCAAUGUAGGAACCUGGUUCUAAAUUUCUCAAGCAUGAACAUUAUGAAUACUAAAGACAGAGAAUCACUUCCAAAUAUCAACAGCAUGAUGGAUACUAGUUCAGUGUGACUGUAUUAAUCAAGAGUGGUUAAAAAGGGGUUCAGUUAAAUUAUUAAUUGUAUCAUCACUSUAUAAUCCCAUAUAAGCAACUAUUGUAUUAACUUCAAAUAAAUUGUCUUUCCUGUCUAAAUGAAA